UGGGGAAUAUUGGACAAUGGGCGAAAGCCUGAUCCAGCCAUGCCGCGUGUGUGAAGAAGGUCUUCGGAUUGUAAAGCACUUUAAGUUGGGAGGAAGGGCAGUAAGCUAAUACCUUGCUGUUUUGACGUUACCGACAGAAUAAGCACCGGCUAACUCUGUGCCAGCAGCCGCGGUAAUACAGAGGGUGCAAGCGUUAAUCGGAAUUACUGGGCGUAAAGCGCGCGUAGGUGGUUUGUUAAGUUGGAUGUGAAAGCCCCGGGCUCAACCUGGGAACUGCAUCCAAAACUGGCAAGCUAGAGUACGGUAGAGGGUGGUGGAAUUUCCUGUGUAGCGGUGAAAUGCGUAGAUAUAGGAAGGAACACCAGUGGCGAAGGCGACCACCUGGACUGAUACUGACACUGAGGUGCGAAAGCGUGGGGAGCAAACAGGAUUAGAUACCCGUGUAGUCCCUGAGCGGGCUGGCAAGGCGCAU
rnacentral:rRNA from 1 species